rnacentral:rRNA from 1 species
UGCGAACGGGUGAGUAACGCGUAGGUAACCUGCCUUGUAGCGGGGGAUAACUAUUGGAAACGAUAGCUAAUACCGCAUAACAAUGGAUGACCCAUGUCAUUUAUUUGAAAGGGGCAAAUGCUCCACUACAAGAUGGACCUGCGUUGUAUUAGCUAGUAGGUGAGGUAACGGCUCACCUAGGCGACGAUACAUAGCCGACCUGAGAGGGUGAUCGGCCACACUGGGACUGAGACACGGCCCAG